AGCCCUUAGGAAAUUAUUUCGGGUGAAGCCUGCCCUAUGACUAAGAUGUUGUUAAAUGGCCGCGGUACCCUGACCGUGCUAAGGUAGCAUAAUCAAUUGGCUUUUAAAUGGAGUCUGGAAUGAAUGGAAAUACGGAGUAAAGCUGUCUCUAAUUCUUUAUUAUGAACUUACUAAUUGGGUGAAAAGGCCCAUUUAAGAAAAAAGACGAGAAGACCCUUAGAGUUUUCUCUUUUGUUGGGGCGACACAGAGUCCGAAGAUGUGGCAAAACACUCUGAAUGAAAUAAGACGGUUGUAUCAUGUUUAGACAAACUACCUGAGGGAUAACAGCAUAAUCUUUUUAGGUUUGUGACCUCGAUGUUGGACUAGGAAGUCUGCUAGCUAGCCGCUAGUAAGAGGGAUUCUGUUCGAAUUUUUUACUCCU
rnacentral:rRNA from 1 species